ACAUACAUACAUAUGUAUGUACAUAGGUGUACAUGUAUGAAAACAAAAGGUGAAGCGGAGAUUGAAAUAAAUUAUGACUCUGUCAAACGCACUUUGCAAAGAAAAAGACAGCCUUUCUUGCCAAAGCCUCCAUCUUCUGCAGAGAAUGUUCUGGAAGCUUUUCAAGACGAAAAUAUUAUGAACCGUUUUGGAAUAACCAAGGGAAAUACUGCAAAUCAGUUCUAUAAAAAAGUGUACGCAUCGAGCUCGUUUGCUUAUUGCAUAUUUUCAUCAGACAAGGUAAUCACCUUGAUGCAAGCCAACAUUCCGGAGCAUAAUAGGCAUUAUUUAAUUGAUGCUACAUUUAAAGUGUGCCCUUUUGGAGAUUUUAAGCAACUUUUAAUAAUUUAUAUUAAAUAUUUGCAGAAGAUAACCCCUUUUGUUUUUGUUUU